GCUGUGUGGAUGUUCUUACAAAUCUCCUGCUCUUGUAGAGAUGCUCAUCUAGUACAUGAUGGGCAUUGAGAUCUUCAUUUAUAUUCAUCCUAUCCUGUUCGUGGAUGUCCAGGGAUACAGAGGGAACCGGGUGCUUUCUGAUUGAACAAAAACCCAAGAACUUUAAUCCUACAUACAUGACGCAUUUAUCAACAUAUGCAAAGGUAAGUCUGACUCACCCGUGAUCCUGAAUACAAUGAUGAAGAGGAUGGUGAGAAGGAUGAAGCCCGUGUUCCAAACCCAGAUGUUUACAUCAAUGGCCGAAACUCCCAGGAAUACGAAGAUCAUGGUCUCCGAGCCGUUGGCCAUCACCUUCAGGGCGUAACGUAACGUUGACACCGAUUUCUCAUCCAUGUUGGCGUUGAUGUACUUCUGACAGCAGACCCCACAAAAGAACAGGCAUUUAGAGGCGGAUGGAGGACAUAUCCUGCUCAAUGUUUAGGGGUGCCAUCAGAUUGCCAGCUAUACCCAAACAUCUACCCGCCCUUCGACAGAUCCUAUGACUGAUUCCCACACGCCCGCUAAAUCCCCAAACCCAUCUGUCAGAGAUCAUCCACCUUAAUCUUUUAAUCCCAACUACGCCUACUGCUAAACCUGAUCUAACACCCAUUCAGUGGACAACUCUGCACUGUUAAUGCCACAUUGGUUGCCUGGUUCAUGUUUCCAGCUACCAGGUAAAAAGUAAUUUUCCACAAAAAAAUAAACAUAUAUUAGAUAUUAUAACACACUGUAAAAUGAUGUCAAAUCAACAUACAGUAUUGUGUUAGUCUUAGGUCACCACCACCAGACUUGUUGUUUUAGAAGUUUUAUUGUCCAACCAUAUUUAUUUUUUAAUCUAUUUUGUUCAGAUGCAAACAGAAAAUACAGGAAAUAUGUACAAAAAUUAAAAAAAAAAAAAUUUCAGGACUAAAUGUCUUCUUUAGGCAUCGCCGGUGUUUAGUGUGACUUCUCUUGGCACUAAACACAUCUUGAGCAUUUUGAGCAGAAUGAAAAGACUAUUUUCUUUAAAAUUACAAAUUAGGAUUUAAUUUUAUUUAGGUUUAAAAGAUCUUGCAGUUUCCUGCUUUUGCUCAAGUGGAAGGGGAGUUUACCCUAAAAACUUGACACAUCAGUUUACAUUUUUAUACAGUUUUUAAUACUACAUACACAUUGUCUGGUUGUAUUCUAAUAAAGAGACAGAGAAACUAUUAAAUAUGAUCACUAUAACAUUGCAAAAACAACAAAUUUAAUUCUGGCAUGGUGGCCUAAGACUUUUUCACAGUACUGUAUAUUUUAUCAAAUUAACACUUAAUGACAUUUUAAUGACAAUUCAAUUUGUAUCACUGGUAAAAAGUGGUUAUGUUGUCUUGGUAAUAUCAAGUUGUCAUAACAAAGACAUCUCAAACAAUUUCAUCUUUGCAUUAAAAAUGACUUAAUACACAUGACACUUAAACAUGCAUAAAAUCUCCUUCAUGUUCAUGACAUGUGUCAUGUCAGUCAUAUGCACAGCCCUUCAAGUAAAGUGUUACUACAAUUUCAACUUGUUUUUAUAAGUUAUGUCAACUUAUUCCAAGUCAAAACUUAAAAUAGUAGAUUCAAUUGACAUUCAAAACCAAGUUGUUUUAACUUCAUGCUGGAUUUUAUUUGCAGUUUGAGGCAUCAGUUGUGAUAAUCUAGAAUGCAGUAUAUCUGUGAAGCCACUAGGUGGCAGAUAUAAAUAUUGAAACUGCAGGGUGGAGAUGACUUAGCAAAUCUACCUUGAUGUGGACCAGACAGAAUUUUAUUGCUCAUAUUUCUUUUUGAUGAGAACAAAAAAAAGGAUUAAGAAAAGCAAACAUUGUGACAUUUUCAUAGCAAGAAAUGCUUUGCCUCUUUGAAUACAUGUAUUGUAUCUUUGAGCUAUGUAGACUUGGGUCAAAAGGUCAUUUUUUUUCUCUCUUAAAAUGAACCAUUUACAUACACUCAGUUCUUUGUUCUUUAUAUUCGAUAGAGGAAAUUAUCUGAAAAUUUUAUUUAUACAUUAACCCAACAGAGAAAAAUCUAUAAGCAUGGUUUCACAGACAAGGCUUAAGCAUGUUUGAGAAUAAUUUGCACUGUCAUAUACUCUUAGAAAAAAGGACCUUUUGUUGCUGGGGCGGUACCUUUUAAAAAAAGUCCUAAUAGCGUUUAGAGAUGUGUACCUUUGAAGUACCAGUCUACCAAUAGGUACCAAUAUGUACUUUUAGGUAAAAAGUAUUAUUUUUGAAAAGGUACUGCCCCAGGGACAACCAUGUACCUUUUUUCUGAUAUAUCUGCAGCAUUGUUUUGUGUCAAGAUGCACACCAGUAAGGUUUUUUUCUACUUGAAUGUCCUUAUAUCAUUAGAACUUACCUCCUGGCUUAAUCUAAGCCUUGUUUGUGAAACCAGACAGAGUAUUAAUAUUUUUUUGCUAUGUUAAUGCAUGCAUAUCAUUCAUCUUUGCUAUGCAAAAUGCUAUAGAAAAUGGUCAAAAAUUGUCCCAAUCUGUCAUUGGGGCAGUACCCUUUAUAAGCUCAUAAUAUGUAUAAUUUAGGUAAAGAUGUGUGUACAUUUGGUACCUAUAUGAAGCUUUGAGGAACUAAUAUGGACUCUUUAGGUGCAAAUGUGUACUUUUUGAAAGUACCACCCCAGUGACAGCAAGGGACCAUUUUUUCUGACUGUUUAUUAGAGCUUAUAGACGGUUUCAGCAGUAACAACAUAAACAAGCGGCUUUCGUGGUCAACACGUAACUUCCGGUAAACUCUGCUAAGGAUAAAUAACAACAAAGUUCUUUUAAAGUAGUUUAUUUAUAUAACAAGCAAAAUAAACAACACGUAGGAAUUUUUUUGGAUUUUUGACGAGGUAUUUGUUCAACAGUUCAGUUUAGCAACUAGUCAGGGGUGCGUUUCCCAAACAACGACUUAACCCGUUGCUGAACGACCAUAGUACGAUGCAUCGUUGGAGAAACUAACUACCUUGUCACGACUGUUUCCCAAAAGCAUAGUAACUUUGUCGCACAUUCCUAGUUUGAACCUUGUUGGUUUAACAACAUAGUUGUUGAUGUCACGUGGGUGGUGAAGUACUAAUUAAUCUGUGCAAAUCGAUUUAAUGUCAGAUUAUUGCUGUGAAAAACAUAUAUUGCAUUGGAAGACUGAUUUUGUUAUCGUGAUUUAGUUAUCUGUUGUUUAUUUUCAAGAUUUUUAAUUCACGCGCAAGUUCCCUCUUACGUCACUCCUAGGGAUUCUCCAGGGUCUUAAAGCUCCUAGUACUGCGCACAUGCGCAGUUUUCAAAUGCAGCGCUUUCAUUCUGUUUACAAAUUUAAAGACGUAAAAUAAAAUUUUUUAAAUAUAUUUAGAAUGAUGGAUAUAGACUGUACUACAUGUUUUUUGCUUAUUUUGUUCAAAAGUAUGAUCAACGUAAGUCUACAUAUGAUAAUAACAAGGAACGAUGCUUCUAACGACAGGUGAAGAGCUGUCGUUCCAACGACACAAGUUAGCGAUGGAGUUUGCGAAUGUUCAUUUGAACGAUGGUUUCGGGAAACACCAAAUCAUUAAACGAUGUUAGUAACGAUGGAACUUACGAUGUUCGUUGGCUAACGAUGCUUUUGGGAAACGCACCCCUGACCAUUAAAACCAGUAGUAAAGUUCCGACCAGACACGUAAUUACGUCUUCGCACGUGCGUCUGAUGAAACCGUCUAUACGCUGUCAGAAAAAAGGUACAAAACUGUACAUUUGUUUUUAUCGCUGAGGUGUUUUUUGUAUACUAUAAAAAAUUUCUUUAGUAAUGCAGCUAUUUGCCAGUAACUUACUGUAGAUUUAAAUGUAUGUUAUU